AGAGUUUGAUCAUGGCUCAGAACGAACGCUGGCGGCGUGCUUAACACAUGCAAGUCGAACGCGAAAGGGACUUCGGUCCCGAGUAGAGUGGCGCACGGGUGAGUAACGCGUAAGUAAUCUACCCCUGUAUCUGGAAUAACCCACCGAAAGGUGAGCUAAUACCGGAUACGUUUAUCUUGAUGCGAAUGAUGAUAAAGAAAGGUGGCCUCUUCAUGAAAGCUACCGUACAGGGACGAGCUUGCGUACCAUUAGCUGGUUGGUAGGGUAAUGGCCUACCAAGGCGACGAUGGUUAGCGGGUCUGAGAGGAUGAUCCGCCACACUGGAACUGAAACACGGACCAGACUCCUACGGGAGGCAGCAGUGAGGAAUAUUGCGCAAUGGGGGCAACCCUGACGCAGCGACGCCGCGUGGACGAUGAAGGCCCUUGGGUCGUAAAAUCCUGUCAGAUGGAAAGAAAUGUACAGGUGUUAAUAUCGCCUGUAUUUGACGGUACCAUCAAAGGAAGCACCGGCUAACUCCGUGCCAGCAGCCGCGGUAAUACGGAGGGUGCGAGCGUUGUUCGGAAUUACUGGGCGUAAAGCGCGCGUAGGCGGUUUGCUAAGUCAGAUGUGAAAGCCCUCGGCUUAACCGGGGACGUGCAUUUGAAACUGGCAGACUUGAGUACUGGAGGGGGUGGUGGAAUUCCCGGUGUAGAGGUGAAAUUCGUAGAUAUCGGGAGGAAUACCGGUGGCGAAGGCGACCACCUGGCCAGAUACUGACGCUGAGGUGCGAAAGCGUGGGGAGCAAACAGGAUUAGAUACCCUGGUAGUCCACGCCGUAAACGAUGAGAACUAGGUGUUGGGAUGG
rnacentral:rRNA from 1 species